UGAGUCCUGAACUUAAACACGAAAAUGGUAUUGGGAUCUUUCACCUCACACAGGCUUGCUAGCUUCUCCUUCAGCUCUGCCUCGGAAACAUUGGGUCUUCCAGGAUGAAGACCAUCAAUUGUGAAUUGCUUCCUGGAAUAACAGACGGUUAGUGACCAAGCAUAAUUUAGCCAUGUUUUUAAUAUAUUAUUUACUGUUUAUUUACAUAUUUUUCUAGCUUAAAUUGUGUUUUUGUUAUGUUUUUAUAGAAAAGGAAGAAAUUGAAGAGUUGGAGAAAAAGUGCAGAAAAUGACAGCAAAAGUGAUUUGCCCAGUGAUUAGCCCAACUCACUCUCAGANNN
rnacentral:lncRNA from 1 species